GUAACAAGGUUUCCGUAGGUGAACCUGCGGAAGGAUCAUUAAUUAUGUUAAAGCGCCUUACCUUAGGGUUUCCUCUGGGGUAAGUGAUUGCUUCUACACUGUGAAAAUUUGGCUGAGAGACUCAGACUGGUCAUGGGUAGACCUAUCUGGGGUUUGAUCGAUGCCACUCCUGGUUUCAGGAGCACCCUUCAUAAUAAACCUAGAAAUUCAGUAUUAUAAAGUUUAAUAAAAAACAACUUUUAACAAUGGAUCUCUUGGUUCUCGCAUCGAUGAAGAACGUAGCAAAGUGCGAUAACUAGUGUGAAUUGCAUAUUCAGUGAAUCAUCGAGUCUUUGAACGCAGCUUGCACUCUAUGGUUUUUCUAUAGAGUACGCCUGCUUCAGUAUCAUCACAAACCCACACAUAACAUUUGUUUAUGUGGUAAUGGGUCGCAUCGCUGUUUUAUUACAGUGAGCACCUAAAAUGUGUGUGAUUUUCUGUCUGGCUUGCUAGGCAGGAAUAUUACGCUGGUCUCAGGAUCUUUUUCUUUGGUUCGCCCAGGAAGUAAAGUACAAGAGUAUAAUCCAGCAACUUUCAAACUAUGAUCUGAAGUCAGGUGGGAUUACCCGCUGAACCUAAGCAUAUCA
rnacentral:misc_RNA from 1 species